GGAACUCAGUCUCUCUUCACUCUGCCAUUACCAACGUGUGCCUGUGUAAAUCUGUGUCUUGUGUUCCAAGUUGUUUUACCUGGCUGCUGACUUCUCUUCCUGAUGGAACAAAAGAUGGGGCAAAGGGCGGAGCCUGCUUUUAUGCAUAGACCCCAACCUUGGACCAGACCAAAACAUGUGACAGCAGGGGUGGUGGGAUAAGGAUUUCUCUCUGCCAGUUUUAGUGAUUGUCCAUGUUGUCCUCCCGUGUGUGAUUAUUGGUUUGGCCAGUUUGUAUGUACUUUAAGUGUCCCUCAUGUUUCAUUCGAGAGGUCCCUUAAUUGAGUUAACAUUUUGGUUUUGCUAGCUUUAUUUUACUCUAGCGUUAUGUUUUGUUGACCUUUUUUUAAAGGGCCCUGUAACUCUUUGCCUUAAUUUGCUUUGUUGAAUCUUUGUUUUGGUGAAAUAUAAACCCUAAAUAUUUUGAACUUCAAA